AUUUCUCUGAGAUGUUUGCAAGCGGGCCAGUCCCCUGAGCCGAUAUUUCAUACCACCAGAAUCUGGCGCUCCGCGGAUGGUGAGCCUGCUCGGUGCGGCCGAGAAGCCUUAAAACUGGGACGACACAUUCACCUUGAACCCAGGGUUCAAGGGUUACAGCCUGCGGCGGCAUCUCGGAGAUUCC
rnacentral:other from 1 species